AUUGAACGCUGGCGGCAUGCUUUACACAUGCAAGUCGAACGGCAGCACGGGCUUCUGCCUGGUGGCGAGUGGCGAACGGGUGAGUAAUAUAUCGGAACGUACCCAGAAUUGGGGGAUAACGUAGCGAAAGUUACGCUAAUACCGCAUACGAUCUAUGGAUGAAAGCAGGGGACCGCAAGUCCUUGUGCUCCUGGAUCGGCCGAUACCUGAUUAGCUAGUUGGUGAGGUAAAGGCUUACCAAGGCGACGAUCAGUAGCUGGUCUGAGAGGACGACCAGCCACACUGGAACUGAGACACGGUCCAGACUCCUACGGGAGGCAGCAGUGGGGAAUUUUGGACAAUGGGCGCAAGCCUGAUCCAGCAAUGCCGCGUGAGUGAAGAAGGCCUUCGGGUUGUAAAGCUCUUUUGUCAGGGAAGAAACGGUAGAGGCUAAUCUCCUCUGCUAAUGACGGUACCUGAAGAAUAAGCACCGGCUAACUACGUG
rnacentral:rRNA from 1 species